rnacentral:piRNA from 1 species
UCCUGGUGCAAUUAUAAGAAGCAGGAGA